rnacentral:rRNA from 1 species
GCAGAGCACUACCUACGGGAGGCAGCAGUGGGGAAUAUUGCACAAUGGGCGCAAGCCUGAUGCAGCCAUGCCGCGUGUAUGAAGAAGGCCUUCGGGUUGUAAAGUACUUUCAGCAGUGAGGAAGGUGGGUAUGUUAAUAGCAUAUUCAUUUGACGUUAGCUGCAGAAGAAGCACCGGCUAACUCCGUGCCAGCAGCCGCGGUAAUACGGAGGGUGCGAGCGUUAAUCGGAAUUACUGGGCGUAAAGCGCAUGCAGGUGGUUUGUUAAGUCAGAUGUGAAAGCCCGGGGCUCAACCUCGGAAUUGCAUUUGAAACUGGCAAACUAGAGUACUGUAGAGGGGGUAGAAUUUCAGGUGUAGCGGUGAAAUGCGUAGAGAUCUGAAGGAAUACCGGUGGCGAAGGCGGCCCCCUGGACAGAUACUGACACUCAGAUGCGAAAGCGUGGGGAGCAAACAGGAUUAGAUACCCUGGUAG